UUGAACGCUGGCGGCAGGCCUAACCCCUGCAAGUCGCACGGUAACAGGGAUCAGCUUGCUGAUUCGCUGACGAGUGGCGGACGGGUGAGUAAUGUCUGGGAAACUGCCUGAUGGAGGGGGAUAACUACUGGAAACGGUAGCUAAUACCGCAUAACGUCGCAAGACCAAAGAGGGGGACCUUCGGACCUCUUGCCAUCGGAUGUGCCCAGAUGGGAUUAGCUAGUAGGUGGGGUAACGGCUCACCUAGGCGACGAUCCCUAGCUGGUCUGAGAGGAUGACCAGCCACACUGGAACUGAGACACGGUCCAGACUCCUACGGGAGGCAGCAGUGGGGAAUAUUGCACAAUGGGCGCAAGCCUGAUGCAGCCAUGCCGCGUGUAUGAAGAAGGCCUUCGGGUUGUAAAGUACUUUCAGCGGGGAGGAAGGGAGUAAAGUUAAUACCUUUGCUCAUUGACGUUACCCGCAGAAGAAGCACCGGCUAACUCCGUG
rnacentral:rRNA from 1 species